AGAUUAUUGAAGAUUUUUGCUGCCAUGGAAUUGUGAGUUUGUGACUAUACAUUCUUGUGUCUUGAAGAUGUAUUGUCUCUGUAUGUGAAUGUCAAUAUCCAGAGUCCAUGAUAUCAUACAGUUUGAAGUCAAAAAAUUCAUGAUAUGGGUGAUAUGGAAAAGUCAUUGCCUUCUUUGCUGGAACAUUCCCUGAUUGCCUGGACUUCUUGGGUCAAUCGCUGGACGCCACCCACGUCUCCUGGACGUCAUGACGCCGCCGAUUUCCUUGACGCCGCGUGCCACCGAUCUUCUAUAACUCAAUUUCUCCAAUUUCUCUCGGCUGAGAGCUCAUAUAUAUUUUUGAGCUGUGAACUUAUUAUGUAAACUCAACACUUUGUUUUGUGACAAGUGAACUCAUUUCAUAUUCAUCUAUCAAUCAUGGUUGAAGUGUCUAUAUGUCUCUCCC
rnacentral:rRNA from 1 species